rnacentral:sRNA from 1 species
GCGGCGGCGAGGAGCUGUGCCUUCCACCUCUCCAGCCCCGGCAGGACGGGGGCGGCCGCCGCGAGCCCGGGGCGGGGACAGCACGCAGCCUCGAGGCGCGCACCCCCGCCCGGCAGCGGCCCCGACACCCGGGGCGAGCGGGAAAGCGGCAGCGGCGGCGGCGGCGGCGGGGGAAGGAUGCAGGGGAAGAAGCCGGGCGGUUCGUCGGGCGGCGGCCGGAGCGGCGAGCUGCAGGGGGACGAGGCGCAGAGGAACAAGAAAAAGAAAAAGAAGGUGUCCUGCUUUUCCAACAUCAAGAUCUUCCUGGUGUCCGAGUGCGCCCUGAUGCUGGCGCAGGGCACGGUGGGCGCCUACCUGGUGAGCGUCCUGACCACCCUGGAGCGUAGGUUCAACCUGCAGAGCGCUGACGUGGGUGUGAUCGCUAGCAGCUUCGAGAUCGGGAACCUGGCGCUCAUCCUCUUCGUGAGCUACUUCGGGGCACGCGGGCACCGGCCGCGCCUGAUCGGCUGCGGCGGCAUCGUCAUGGCGCUGGGCGCGCUGCUGUCGGCGCUGCCCGAGUUCCUGACCCAUCAGUACAAGUACGAGUCGGGCGAGAUCCGCUGGGGCGCCGAGGGCCGCGACGUCUGCGCAGCCAAUGGCUCGGGCGGCGACGAGGGGCCCGACCCCGACCUCAUCUGCCGCAACCGGACGGCUACCAACAUGAUGUACUUGCUGCUCAUUGGGGCCCAGGUGCUCCUGGGCAUCGGUGCUACCCCUGUGCAGCCCCUGGGCGUCUCCUACAUCGACGACCACGUGCGGAGGAAGGACUCCUCGCUCUAUAUAGGAAUCCUGUUCACGAUGCUGGUAUUUGGACCAGCCUGCGGGUUUAUCCUGGGCUCUUUCUGUACCAAAAUCUACGUGGAUGCGGUCUUCAUUGACACAAGUAACCUGGACAUCACUCCAGACGACCCCCGCUGGAUCGGAGCCUGGUGGGCUGGCUUUCUGCUCUGCGGUGCCUUACUCUUCUUCUCUUCCCUCUUGAUGUUUGGGUUUCCACAGUCCCUGCCCCCGCACUCAGACCCCACCAUGGAAAGUGAGCAGGCCAUGCUCUCCGAAAGAGAAUACGAGAGACCCAAGCCCAGCAACGGGGUCCUGAGGCACCCCCUGGAGCCAGACAGCAGUGCCUCCUGUUUCCAGCAGCUGAGAGUGAUCCCGAAGGUCACCAAGCACCUGCUCUCAAACCCUGUGUUCACCUGCAUCAUCCUGGCCGCCUGCAUGGAGAUUGCAGUGGUGGCUGGCUUUGCUGCCUUUUUGGGGAAGUACCUGGAGCAACAGUUUAACCUUACCACCUCUUCUGCCAACCAGCUGCUUGGGAUGACUGCGAUCCCGUGUGCUUGUCUGGGUAUCUUCCUGGGAGGUCUUUUGGUGAAGAAGCUCAGCCUGUCUGCCCUGGGGGCCAUUCGGAUGGCCAUGCUCGUCAACCUGGUGUCCACUGCUUGCUACGUCUCCUUCCUCUUCCUGGGCUGCGACACUGGCCCUGUGGCUGGGGUUACUGUUCCCUAUGGAAACAACACAGCACCUGGCUCAGCCCUGGACCCCUACUCGCCCUGCAAUAAUAACUGUGAAUGCCAAACCGAUUCCUUCACUCCAGUGUGUGGGGCAGAUGGCAUCACCUACCUGUCUGCCUGCUUUGCUGGCUGCAACAGCACGAAUCUCACGGGCUGUGCGUGCCUCACCACCGUCUCUGCUGAGAACGCAACCGUGGUUCCUGGAAAAUGCCCCAGUCCUGGGUGCCAAGAGGCCUUCCUCACCUUCCUCUGUGUGAUGUGUAUCUGCAGCCUGAUCGGUGCCAUGGCACAGACGCCCUCAGUCAUCAUCCUCAUCAGGACAGUCAGCCCUGAACUCAAGUCUUACGCUUUGGGAGUUCUUUUUCUCCUCCUUCGUUUGUUGGGUAUGUAUUAUCUCUUUAUUUCCUCAAUAAUGAAUUGGAUGCUUAUUACUAGGUGAGUAACUAUCAGUGAAAUUAUCCCAUUUCCUAGGUCUGUCUCUUUUUUCUUUGAAGUUUAAUUAUUAGUAAAUAAGAAAUUUUAAGUCCCAAAAUUUUGGUCAGAGAUAAACUCAGACACUGCCUGGAUAUCACAAAGUUCUCAUUU